rnacentral:rRNA from 1 species
UACGUAGGUGGCAAGCGUUGUCCGGAAUUAUUGGGCGUAAAGCGCGCGCAGGCGGUCCUUUAAGUCUGAUGUGAAAGCCCACGGCUCAACCGUGGAGGGUCAUUGGAAACUGGGGGACUUGAGUACAGAAGAGAAGAGUGGAAUUCCACGUGUAGCGGUGAAAUGCGUAGAGAUGUGGAGGAACACCAGUGGCGAAGGCGGCUUUCUGGUCUGUAACUGACGCUGAGGUGCGAAAGCGUGGGGAGCAGACAGG